CUGUAAACUCGUUAUUGUAUAAUCAACUUUCUCUUAUUAGUGGAAAUUUACUAAACUCCUGAUUUAAUUUUAGAUUGCAUUUUCAGAUGAAAAUGCAACUCGGUAAUUUACUAAACUCUAAACACAACAGUGUUGGUCCAAUUUGUAUUGAUUUUAACAGUCAACAACAUAAAUACAUAUUAAUACACCAUUGAUCAAAUGCGGCUGUUAUUUCAUACAACAUGGGAAUUUACCAAAGAUUCGCAUUUACAAACUCAAACAUAAAAGCUUAACAACAUCCGCAAAGGGGCGCGAUUCAAAAAAUUUAGCUUUCAAAAAGAACUGUUUUGGUUUGGCGUUUUUAACAUGUUUGUCAGCUUACCCAUUAAUUACACCUGAAUUCUGAUGCCUUUAAAAGGGGACUAAGCACAUUAUUCACUUUUCCCUCUCAAAAAUGGUUUCUGUCCUUUGCUGCAGUAAUGUGCUGGGUGCUGUGGGAUUCCUGAGACAGCCACCAGUGUGGAAGAAACCAGGGGCAAGAAACUGACCAUGGUCAGCAGGUUGUGCAGGUACCACAGAGGCUGCGCAGGCCUCGUUUAGUGAGGGGGCAUUUGAACUUAAACACAUUAGCAAAUGACCAGGUCAUACAGAUGUUUCAGCUCAAUAUAACAUUUUCCAUCUGUAUGACUUUGUCAAACUGGACCUAGACCCUGAGAAUGCUCUCUCUCUGUCUCAGGUCUGCAUAAACUCCUGGCUGUAUUGCACCUUCUGGCUACUAGCAGCUUUCAGGCUGUGUUUGGUGCAGUUAUUGGGAUGUCACAGCCCACCUUUUCCAAAUAUUUAAUGCAGGUGAUGUACAGUAUACCUUACACCCUCAUAUAAAUACUUGCACUUUAUGACUACUGAUAGCUUUCACACUGUCUGCCAGUUAUUUGGAUCACCCCCCCCCACCACCUUUUUUUACUUUCUCACACAGGUGUUCGAUGCUUUGCAAAUCCAUAUAGAUGCCACUAUCUGCUUCCCUAGUCAGGAGUCAUAGUGGCAUGCAGUCAGGGUAGUUUUUUAUCACAUUGCUGGCAUGCCCCAUGUGCUAGGUGUGAUAGAUUGCACACAUGCACAUCUGAGGCCACCUAGGGUCAGGCAGUACAUCUAUAAAAAUAGAAAUCAAGACCAGUCUACUAAUGUCCAGGUGGUUUCUGAUGCUAAAACUUAAAAUUGAGUAUUGUUGUGGGUUAACCUGGCAGAUGUCCUUCAUCCUCAGUCAGUCAUCCUUCUAUGAAAAAUUUGAUUCCUGACAAAUGACAGAUGAGUGACUGUUGGGUAUGUAACUAUAUAUUUGGCUUUUGUAAUGCAGACACAAUAACCACUAUGUAAACAAUGCUACUGUAUAUAUUCCUUCUAUAAUAUCUGUGUUUUUCAGGUGAUGCAGGGUAUGGCUGUUUCUCUUGGCUUCUGACUCCAUUUUAAUGUCCUGAUUUUGCUGCUUAACACAAUUACAAUCAUGCACAUAAAGUCACUUGGACAGUGAUAGAUAUUUUGUUGUGCUGAAAUCUCAGUUAUGGUGUCUGGAUAAGUCUGCUGGCCUUUUGUUGUAUAAUCACUUAAAGGAGACUAAAAUUGUGUUCUGCUGCUGUUUUCUUUAUGACAUGUGUUUGCAACAACAUCUUCCACAUGAUGUUGAAGAAAAUAGGAGUUAGUAUCAUCUGGCGACAGUUGGAGUACAGAUGUAGGGAGGCAGGUAAGGCAGCAAGUAAUAGAAAAACAUUUUUCUGGUAAGUAUAUUUCUACCACUGUAAUGUCUUAUUAAGUGUAACUAUAGACUCGUCCCUUGGUGUUGAUAUUCUCCCAACAACAGUCUGAAAAACAAUGAUUCAUAUUACACUACAUCAUAACAGAUAUAUACUGUAUGUUUAUGUCAUACAUUAGUCUCACAAUAUCCUAUGUGUAAUCUUUUACAUUUUUAAAAACCUUUCAUCAAUUUGUAUGUGUACAAUAUAUUUUGUUUGAAUCACAUACACAAUAUAAACGUGUUUACCUGAAUAAGUAGGUGUUUCAUUUAACAUUCCUUUUCUUACCAAAAAGACUUAGCCUAAGGGUUUUUUAAUUUAGUAUUUAGUGGAAGUGAAGAUGUGGGGCCUAAAUUUAGCACAUCUACGAUCAGCCACACUGAAAUGCGGGGGCACACAGCACAGGGCUAGUCCGUCCCGCAUGUCAGGCCCUAACCCCCCCACACAUGUACAAAAGCAUUGCACGACUUUAAAUAACAUGUUUUGUUGUUAAACAAAUGGACACAAAUUACUGAAAUCAUAUUUCUGAAACACGUUUGUUUAUUUUUUUUGGCUGUGUUAUUUGCUUUAGUUUUCCCCCCAAAAAAAUGAAGCUGUUUUUUAAUAAAAGACAUGGCCUUAAUAGGCCCUACACACUUGUCGAUGUAACUGAAAGUUAUGAAAGAUAUCAUUCAUUAAUGAACGAGAUAGCAUUUAUAUCUUUCAGUGUCAGGGCACCAGCGAUGAACGAUGCGCGGCACCAUGCUCGUUCAUCGCUGGUGCCCCGUCGGCUGUGCAUGCAGGCCAAUAUGGAUGAUCUCGUCCAUAUUUGCCUGCACUUGUAUGGAGCCGUGUGACGGGGGGAAUGAAGGAACUUCACUCCCCCCGCCACUGCCUCCCACCCCGCCGCCGGGUCGACCGUCUGCUGUAUCGGCGGUCGGGCAACUCGGCAGCGUAUCGCCAUGUCUGUAUGGCCCAUAACAGCGACUUUGAUUGGGAAAAAAGUUAACUUUUUUUUUCUCAUUACAGAUUGAGAAAUCUCUUUUUUAUUUCCCCUGCUGCGCUCUGGAGCUGGACCGUCCUUUUUCAGUUGCGUCUUGCAUAUGUCCGUAAACGGGAGGAUCACCUUAGUGGGGAGGUAGGUGAUGGGCCAGGCUCCCAAUGAAUUGCUUCUGCCUCCACAGACAAUCAAGAUCUUGUCUUGCCUGGUUUUCCUCAAGAAUGGGGUCCAUUGUAAUGAAUUAGCAGUUGUGUGCAGCUGUGGUGAGUGUGGUGAAAUUGGCAGGGGACUGUCCAAAAGAUGUAGUCGUGGCCUUGAUGACACCUCUAAGAUGCGGCAUCGUGGUAGAGACACAUUGGCCUGCUUGUGACAGCUGACUUCCGCUUGUGUGUUGGCGACAUGUGUGUUGGCCUGGCUGACACAUAUGACUUGCGCUUCCUUGGAGGAGACACAUGUGUGGAAGUACCUAAAAAAUAUGGACAAAUUAAAAUUUUGACUCAAUUUGUUUGAGGAAAAAAACAGAAACACUAAUGUACUUACCAGCUACUCCAUUAUCCUCCGCUUCAGGCUGAGUGUGGGCACGGACCACUGUUGUAGUGGAAUUGUGGAUUGCUGUAAAUGGAAAUGUAACAUGUGAUUACAACACAAUUAGU